GACGAACGCUGGCGGCGUGCUUAACACAUGCAAGUCGAGCGGUAAGGCCCUUUCGGGGGUACGACGAGCGGCGAACGGGUGAGUAACACGUGGGUGACCUGCCCUUAGCUCUGGGAGUAGCCCGGGGAAACCCGGAUUAAUACCGGAUAGCCUUUCGAGCUCUCGGGCUCGUCAGAAAAGGAUGGCUUCGGCUUUCGUUGAGGAUGAGCUUGCGGCGGAUUAGCUUGUUGGUGAGGUAACGGCUCACCAAGGCGACAAUCCGUAGCUGGUCUGAGAGGACGAUCAGCCACACUGGGAC
rnacentral:rRNA from 1 species